rnacentral:rRNA from 1 species
UACAGAGGUCUCAAGCGUUGUUCGGAUUCAUUGGGCGUAAAGGGUGCGUAGGCGGCGCGGUAAGUCGGGUGUGAAAUCUCGGAGCUUAACUCCGAAACUGCAUUCGAUACUGCCGUGCUUGAGGACUGGAGAGGAGACUGGAAUUUACGGUGUAGCGGUGAAAUGCGUAGAGAUGCGGAGGAACACCGAUGGCGAAGGCAGCCCCCCUGGGCUGAACACUGACGCUCAGGCACGAAAGCGUGGGGAGCAAACAGG